CCUACGUGAGACUGCAGUGAGGAAUAUUUGGCACUGGGCGCAAGCCUGACCCAGCAACGCCGCGUGAAGGAAGAAGGCUUUCGGGUUGUAAACUUCUUUUCUCAGGGACGACACAAGUGACGGUACCUGAGGAAUAAGCCACGGCUAACUACGUGCCAGCAGCCGCGGUAAGACGUAGGUGGCAAGCGUUAUCCGGAUUUACUGGGUGUAAAGGGCGUGUAGGCGGGGACGCAAGACAGAUGUGAAAACCACGGGCGCAACCUGUGGCCUGCAUUUGAAACUGUGUUUCUUGAGUACUGGAGAGGCAGACGGAAUUCCUAGUGUAGCGGUGAAAUGCGUAGAUAUUAGGAGGAACACCAGUGGCGAAGGCGGUCUGCUGGACAGCAACUGACGCUGAUGCGCGAAAGCGUGGGGAGCAAACAGGAUUAGAUACCCCAGUAGUC
rnacentral:rRNA from 1 species